CCCUCCCUCCCCCAUGCCAUUAGCUUGCACAAAAUAAUAGCUAUUGACUUCCAUUGAGGUGAUUAUCAAGAUUUAUUGACCUAGGAAGUAAAUAUUGAUCAGGGUGAAGCCAAGGUCAAUAUAUAUUUGUUAGAACAAUAAAUCUCAUUAUUCCAUGAAACAAGAAGUCAAUAUAUGAAUUGUUAUAGACAUCCAUUGUUAGAGUCAGUCAGCUGUCUUCUGUAGGUUAAAAUUCCAUCAAACAGUACAACCUGCCAGCUGGUUUUCUCUGACAAGAUAACAUUCUCAAAGGCCAGAUGAAGUUAAGUGAGCAUAAAAGGUGAAUAAUCAUUUUCAACAAACUCUGCUGCCGCUAGUAAGGUACAAUAAUUUGUGAUUGUAAUAAUUGCUUUGGACCUCAAUAUUAUUGAGCUCUGAGAAGGUAAAAAAUAUGAGCUAGCUACUUGUCACAUGCUACUUCUCAGCCAAUCCUGAACCAGACAUUUUCUUUUGACACAUAACACCAAAUCCUAUAUAAGCCUUAAAACCCUGUAAGCAAAGUAGGAGACAGAAAUGGAAGAGUCCUCUUAUGUUAUUAAAUCCAUCUGUCUGCUGAUGCUGGAUUCCUUCUGACAAGGCAAUUCUUACUAUCUAUUUAGUCUACCUGCAUAUCUCAAUUUACCCCUGUCCUUACACCCCCUCAGUGCACGCAUGACAAAUGAGCCUGUGAUGGAACUGAUUAGAGGCUGUAAUCAAAUCCUUCAUACUUCAACUGGCUCUGAUUGUCUUGGUGACCCAAGCCCCUCUGACAAGGUUCAAUCCAGCUACUGAAGGAAGUUUUCUCAGCCAAUCAGACUGAUGACCUGCAUGCUCACUGUUAAGCUUUUUCCUUCUGCUUUCAUUUUUUAUUUUCCUUCCAGCAACAUUUUUAAAUACUGGAAAAGAAGGGAAAGAAAAUGUAAAACAAGAAUAAAUACUACAGUGCAUUUGGCUGGUCUAGAACCCUGCCUAAGGAGUCUACCGACCUUACUAUUGACAUACAGCAUGGUCUAGUUACAGAUGGAAAUCUCUUGUGUCCAGGGCUUAUUGAAAACAGCAUGGGGAAUGGGAGUGGACCUGGGUGACAGAAGGUGUCGGCUGUGUUCCUGCCCAUGUCACUGGGAUGCUGUGGGACUUUGCACAAGUUGCUUCUGCUCUCCAUACCUUUUUUCUCUUUCUGUUCUCUGCUUAGGCUUUAAAUGCUUUGGGGAUUUUCUUUUCCUGUAUGUUGUACAGCUUGUAACCCAACUGCCUGCCAGUCCCAUGACAGGCUUUUGUACUACUAUAAUAAUUAAAUUAUCAUGAGUAUCUUCCAGAGGGUCUCUCUCCUGCAUGGCCUUUUUCUAAGUGAGCUUUAAAUGGUCUGAGAUAUGCAGGUUCUUAAAGAGACUGUGGCCAGAAAAUGGAUGAGAAAGAGUGCACAGAUAAGGGUCAGAACAAAGCCAAACACAACUUGCCUGGCUCUGCCUGUAAAAUAUUCUCUGCAGCAAGGGGGCAGGGAACUUGAGGCACUCCUGUUUCCUGGUAACAAGCGCUGAAAUGGAUUGCACAAUGCUACUGUGGUUUGCAUUAGAGUGACAUUAUGCUCUGCCACUAAUGGUGAAAGCCCUUCAUCAGAGAGGCUGGCAAAUGGGUAGCAGGAAUGAACCAGGGAAAGUUUUCUAAAAUCAAAAGAGUUUUACAAAGGGCCGAUUUAUAGGGUGACCAUAUGUCCUGGUUUAGCCGGGACAGUCCCAGACUUCAGAAGCUAGUCCCAGCUAGCUGUUGAAAAUUAUAAAGGGUGUCUCAGAAACACAGGGGCAUAGGCCACAGCCUGGCCAGGAGUUGGAGUGGUGCAGAGCACCUUGCAGGUGGGCAGGCAGGAACCGCUGCCUGCUCAGCAUGCCACCCUACCCCCACUGACUUGUGAGGUGGGGGAGGGGGGUCAGUGUCCCAGAUGUCUGGGAUUUCCUUAUGGUCAGCCUGUGGUGGGUUAGUAGGGGGUGCUCCUGCAUUGAGCCACCCACCUCACUGCGCCCGACCACCUUUCAGGCUCCAAGUGUCUCCCUGGGGGUGCCUCACGUCUGGCCAACCCCCUUCCUGGAGCACACCCGCUAGUCUGGGGGUAACACUACCACCACCCAGGGAUGGGCUUGAUUCUGGCUCUGCGCACCCUGGGAAACACAGGCCUAGUAGCCCUUGAGGGUACUUGAUUCACUUCAAGAACUUGGGAUGCUUCCCUCAGUCAGAAGCACAAGCAGUGGUCUCCCUUAGUCAGCCGAGCCAAGGGGACCCCAAGGCAUAAUCUGGACCCACUCCCAAUAAGUCUCCCACACUAGGUACAAACGAGAACUUUAUUGGUUACAAAGGGUAGGGUUGGAAUAGGGUACAGGGUAGAGCAAUAUCAGAUAAAUCCCAUAGAGCAAACUGGCAUGGCCUUUGAUCGUAAGUCUGUGUUACUGCAAGCUAUAUAUCUAGUUAGAUCUCAGGUAGCUUACUCACAAGUAUCAUCCAGAGGCAGGUGGAGAUUCCCUCUGGAGGCAGGCAGUUCCUUGAUCAUGAGUUUUGAGAGAGAGAGAGAAAGUUUCAGAUGGUCCAGCUCCUCUCUAUCUGAGUUUUCCUCAUGGCUGCUGCCCUCUCCACCUGGACAGUCCUUAACUUAUAUAGCCCUUGUGACCUCAUUUACCUGGUCCAAUGGAGGCCAGCACCUGUUGGCUGUCAGCCAACCAAUUUGAAAUGCAUCACUAGUUGCUAGGCAGACUGGCAGUCCCUAGCCCCCCAGGGAGCAAGCCCCUCACCCAGGUAUGUGAUACCAGUCACGUAGGCAGAGAGAGAAGGUUUCCCCCCUCCCUCAGGAAUGUAUACAGCUCAGGUUACCUAAAGAGAUGGGUUAAGAGAUGGGGUAAGGUGUAUAUCCACAGCCUACCUAUUUAGGAAUGCUUUGUGGUACGUACAUGAUUGCUCCAAGCUUCAUAGCAGUGUGGCAGGCUUGCCUAUAUUGGCCUGGUUCCUUGGGCUUAGUGAACUGCCAAGCAAUUGGCGGGGAAAACCCACAAAUCAGAGACCAGCAGAGGAGGAGCCUUGGGAGGAGUCUGCCCUGCCCCUAUAUCAGGAUGAGGCGAGGAGUGGACUUAACUGAAGACUGUGCUGCACCACCCCCUGACUGGCCAGUCUUCAAUCUUGGGGCAGAGCCCCAAAAGGGUAUAUAAGGAGCUGUGUGCACAGCAGGUGGAGGAGAAGAUGAGGGACAGAAAAAUAAGAAGCUAGGGCUGAGGAAGAGCUGGGGAAGAGCUACCUUGGGAACCACUUGAGGUAGCUCAGGUCUCCAACCCCAGCACGAGGCUGGCAUUGGUGCAAAUGCCACUGCACGAGACACUGGAGAAGGGGAAACUGCAAGCAAGCUGAAGUUUCCAUCUCCAGCACAUACACCCUGCUGACCAUUCCCUUUUAUUGGAGAGGGGAGUACACACUUUGGUACACCUGGGUUACACCAGUAUGUGCAAACACACACUUAUUAACAUAUGGAAUGCAGGCAGGAGAAGAGAUACCAGUAAUGUCAUCAUAGUCUUUAAAACAUGAAAGGCAGAUCUGAGUCGUGGUCUUAGUACAAAAAUGGGAUCCAGAAGCUCCUGUAUUUUAUUGCCAGCUCUGACAGACUCACAUGGACUUGGACAAUUCUUUGUCUCCAUUUCCUUAUCUGUAAAAUGGAAACAGUGAUUCCAGCUGGUGAAAUAGUGUGUGAAUGUAAGCACCACCUGCUGUGCCAGUGAGUGAGAGCUGUGUUAAAGGUAAAUUCGCUCCUUUGACCCUUUAAGGGACAUCCAG